rnacentral:rRNA from 1 species
GGGUUGUGAGGUUAAGCGACUAAGCGUACACGGUGGAUGCCCUGGCAGUCAGAGGCGAUGAAGGGCGUGCUAAUCUGCGAUAAGCGCCGGUAAGGUGAUAUGAACCGUUAUAACCGGCGAUACCCGAAUGGGGAAACCCAGUGUGAUUCGUCACACUAUCAUUAACUGAAUCCAUAGGUUAAUGAGGCGAACCGGGGGAACUGAAACAUCUAAGUACCCCGAGGAAAAGAAAUCAACCGAGAUUCCCCCAGUAGCGGCGAGCGAACGGGGAGGAGCCCAGAGCCUGAAUCAGCAUGUGUGUUAGUGGAAGCGUCUGGAAAGGCGCGCGAUACAGGGUGACAGCCCCGUACACAAAAGCGCAUGUGCUGUGAGCUCGAUGAGUAGGGCGGGACACGUGGUAUCCUGUCUGAAUAUGGGGGGACCAUCCUCCAAGGCUAAAUACUCCUGACUGACCGAUAGUGAACCAGUACCGUGAGGGAAAGGCGAAAAGAACCCCGGCGAGGGGAGUGAAAAAGAACCUGAAACCGUGUACGUACAAGCAGUGGGAGCCCCACCACUAAGCCAGUGGUGAACUCCACAUACGCAUCCUUUGCUGAGGAUACGGUUAACGGAGCGCAAGCGACGUUCAACCUCAAAAGAAGCAGAGGGGGCUUAGUGGUGGGGUGACUGCGUACCUUUUGUAUAAUGGGUCAGCGACUUAUAUUCUGUAGCAAGGUUAACCGUAUAGGGGAGCCGGAGGGAAACCGAGUCUUAACCGGGCGUUAAGUUGCAGGGUAUAGACCCGAAACCCGGUGAUCUAGCCAUGGGCAGGUUGAAGGUUGGGUAACACUAACUGGAGGACCGAACCGACUAAUGUUGAAAAAUUAGCGGAUGACCUGUGGCUGGGGGUGAAAGGCCAAUCAAACCGGGAGAUAGCUGGUUCUCCCCGAAAGCUAUUUAGGUAGCGCCUCGUGAAUUCAUCUCCGGGGGUAGAGCACUGUUUCGGCUAGGGGGCCAUCCCGGCUUACCAACCCGAUGCAAACUGCGAAUACCGGAGAAUGUUAUCACGGGAGACACACGGCGGGUGCUAACGUCCGUCGUGAAGAGGGAAACAACCCAGACCGCCAGCUAAGGUCCCAAAGUCAUGGUUAAGUGGGAAACGAUGUGGGAAGGCCCAGACAGCCAGGAUGUUGGCUUAGAAGCAGCCAUCAUUUAAAGAAAGCGUAAUAGCUCACUGGUCGAGUCGGCCUGCGCGGAAGAUGUAACGGGGCUAAACCAUGCACCGAAGCUGCGGCAGCGACACUCAGGUGUUGUUGGGUAGGGGAGCGUUCUGUAAGCCUGCGAAGGUGGCCUGUGAGGGUUGCUGGAGGUAUCAGAAGUGCGAAUGCUGACAUAAGUAACGAUAAAGCGGGUGAAAAGCCCGCUCGCCGGAAGACCAAGGGUUCCUGUCCAACGUUAAUCGGGGCAGGGUGAGUCGACCCCUAAGGCGAGGCCGAAAGGCGUAGUCGAUGGGAAACGGGUUAAUAUUCCCGUACUUGGUGUUACUGCGAAGGGGGGACGGAGAAGGCUAUGUUGGCCGGGCGACGGUUGUCCCGGUUUAAGCGUGUAGGUGUGUGUUCCAGGUAAAUCCGGUUCACUUUAACACUGAGGCGUGACGACGAGGCACUACGGUGCUGAAGCAACAAAUGCCCUGCUUCCAGGAAAAGCCUCUAAGCAUCAGGUAACAUCAAAUCGUACCCCAAACCGACACAGGUGGUCAGGUAGAGAAUACCAAGGCGCUUGAGAGAACUCGGGUGAAGGAACUAGGCAAAAUGGUGCCGUAACUUCGGGAGAAGGCACGCUGACAUGUAGGUGAAGUGAUUUACUCA